CAAUAAAAAAUAGAAAAGGGUUUACUGAUCUAGUAAUCAUAUGAAGAUCAACAAGAAAAAAUAGAAAAGGUUUUGCUGAUCUAGUAAUCACAUGAAGAUCAACAAGAAAAUCGCUAUUUUUUUUCCUGUCGCUCGCGAUUAGGAACCAAUUGUUUGCUUCUCCUUCAAAAAGUGGAUUUUUUCUCUCCCGUUUUAAUGACCAAAAUGGGUGGAUCAUCUCACAGAGAAUCAUAUUGAGAGUCUGAAGACCUAGAUGCAAGCCAUGAUUGAGCACUUGGAGGGUAAUGGUCAGGAUUCAGUGGGAUUCAGUGCAAAUCAGCAACUUUGAGGCACCGGGUUGUAAUGUCUCAUCGUUACAAUAAAACAAAUGCUAUUUGGUAAUGCUGGGCAGUGGCAGUCCUAAAAUAAGUAGAGUUUACUUAGCGUGCUGUGCUGACGUUGAAGGAUGCCUGCGAUUCCUUGAGGAAGGAUUAAUAAUAACAAAACUGAAAUUACAGUGAAGUUUAGUUUUAAUAAAGUCAGAUGGCAUGUUUAGAGUUUUGUCUAUUAAAGAAAAAGGUAUAUAAGGAAGAUCAAUUAUCGAGAAGCAGAUGUCAGUUUUUGUAAGAUAUUCAGCAACCUGAGGAUGAAACCCCCUGAGGUUUGAAAUUUAAAGGACAAAAACCUCUUAAUUUACAUCACCAAGUUAGUGGAUGAAAACCCCUGAUUCAGACAGACUCAGACAUUUCAAAGGCAUUUAAAUAAAGAGAGAUCACUGCAUAUCGGAGGAAGAUUUACAGCAGAGAUAAGAGGAUAAGUUCUAUAUUUUCUGAGAUACAUUUUAAGAUUCAAUAUAUUUAAAGAAAACAAGAAAUUUUUUAA